GGACUCCCUGGGAUCUCCUGACAUUCUGUCCCCUCUGUCCCCAGCUCCUGGGUCCCUCCGCCAUCGCUGUCUUCCUGAGCUGCCUCCCUCUGAAUUUCUUCAUCACCGAGAAGAGGAAUCACUGUCAGGAGAGCAAAUGAGGCAGAAGGACUUGCAGGCCCAGCUCAGCAGCUCCAUCCUCAGGAACUCGAGGACCAUCAAGUUCCAUGGCUGGGAGGGAGCCUUUCUGGACAGAGUCCUGGGCAUCCGAGUCCAGGAGCUGGGUGCCUUGUGGACCUCCGAUCUCCUCUUCUCCGUGUCACUGGUGUCCUUCCAAGCGUCUACAUUUCUGAUCAGUGACUUCAAAAAGUAUACAAAUGUUGGGAGGUGACCGGGAGGAUCACAUGAAGUCAGGAAUUUGGGACCAGGCUGGCCAAGAAGAUGAAACCCUGUCUCUACCAAAAAUACAAAACUUACCUGGGUGUGGUGGUGCACGCCUGUAGGCCCAGCUUCUCAGGAGGCUGAGGCAGGCGAAUUGCUUGAAUCUGGAAGGUGGAGGUUGCAGUGAGUCGAGAUCGUGCCACUGCACUCCAGCCAGCGUACAAAGAACAGCUUUAGACUUGAUCCCGCCAGGCAUGACCACUGGGCCCUUUCAGCAGUGGAUCACCCGAUUCUGCCUCAGUUUCCAGUGUCUUCUCAGGCCUGGAGUGAGCGUCUGAUGCUGGGGUUGGAUACGUUGCUGCAUAAAUACUCUCCCCACUUCCACCUGUGCUGUCAGCCUGGGUGGGGAGAAGACCCAGGAGGGGACUGUCUUCCUCCUAAAGCCCCACCUGUCUGAUGGCUGAGACUUCUGCCUCAUUUCCAGAACUCCCAGGGGCCCUUGAACGUCUUGUUAUUUGCUAAAUGUGCAAGCACAGAUUGCCUGUACCUCCCCUCAGACCUUCCUGCCACUCCCUGUAGAGCUGUCUGAAGCCUGGAAAUGUUUAUUUGCCUUUGGAGAAAUUCAAGUUCCAUCUGCCCAGACUCAUCACAAUUACAGUAACAGCCGGCGCUCUGUAACUUUCUGGAGCCUCUUCCAGCAGACAGGAGGUCACUUCUUCAAGUCCUCUUUGUAACCCCAUACAAGAUGAGGAAACUGAGGCAGGUGACACCAAGGUCUUUUCAGGGCAAGAGUGACCUGCAGCCACCCAAGGUCAGCAAGGCCGAGAGGUUCCAGGCACAGCUGGAGAUGAAACUGGUGAUGGGGGCAGCCCUGUCAUCUUUACAGGGAACCUCACAUGGCAGGUGGGCAGCAAGCUGGCCUCUCCGCAUCACUGAGCCAUCUGCUGAGUGACCAGGCCCAAGUGACAGCACUGCUGGAAAGGAAGGAGGAGGAUGGAUGGUGGGUGAGUGCCGAAUUGUUUAUGCUAGGCCUGGCGGGGCUGCGUGCCCUUGGCCUGCUGCAGCAGUGGGGCCACCUCUGCACCAACUCCUUGAGGAUCCAGUACAGCCUCCUGGGUAAGGCCUGAUUGCGGGGCAGGUGCCGUUUCCUGCGGCUGUGGCUCUGUGAGCUAAGAUAUGCUGUCACCACAGGAUUUUCCAUUAGUCAUUCUGUGGGCUCUCAGUAAGACAUAGUACCUGAUCAUUUUUUUAAAAAGUGUGUCUGUUGAGGGGACAGUCAUCCAUCUCUUAAGACUUCCCCAUGGACAGGUUCUAAUGGAGUGACAGGUGAAGCAGAGCACAGGGCUGGGAGGACAUGGCUGAGGCCAGGCUGGGCUGGGCCCUCCUCCUCUUGGAGCCCUGGUGGAGGGCUGCCUGGCAGAGGAGGACAGGGGUCCCUUCAUUGAUCCUCACAGCUCAGGCAAAGCAGCCAGGGCACCAGUGCAGCACCGGCCAGAGGCUGCAGACAGAGAGCCACUCAGAUGCCGCCUACAGGCUGGAGCUGGGCCAUGAGCUCCACUGCACACAGAUCCCAGCCUUCAGCCACAAGGUGGCCCACCAGAUGCUGUCCUGGGUUGAGGCCACAUUGUCACGGGCACUGAAGAGGCUCUGCAAACCCCUGCUGGACCUGUAUGACCUCGUAACCAGGCCUACAGGCUGUACAACUCCUCCCUCCCAGGGGAGAGCUGUCCAGACCUCCAGCUGCCUCUUGCCAUGAAGAGGAGAGACGUCCCCAGGAUUAUUGAGCUGACCAGUUAGGACAGGGUCUCCAUCUCCUGUGACGUGCCCACCAGCCUCUGCAGCCUGAUUCUGAGCCUCUAGCACCACGGCAUAUCCGCUGGCCUUCUGGGCACCAAUGACAAUGAAGCAGGCAAUGAUCUGAUGUUGCUGGAUGACUCUGUGGCCCACAGAGGAGCUCAGCCUGGCCUGGCAGGUGGAUGGUGACUGCAGGGCCACCAAGAAGACUCAGCAGGCCUGCCCAGGACAGAGCCCUGCCAGCCUGGCCUUCUUCCAGGACCUCUCUUCCAGCUUGGGGAACUGCUUCUGGGUGGGGCAGAGUGUCUGCAAGGGGGACCACAUUUUUGCUCUCUGACUCAAUUAGAAGGAUGGAAAGAUAAGCUACAGAUUGGGAAAAAUGUUUACAAACCACCUAUCGGACCAAGGACUCAUCUCUAGAAUACAUGAAGAACUCAAAGCUCAAAAGUAGGCCAGCUCCUUGACAAGGGCAAGAUUCUUGGCUGGGACAGAAUAACCGCAUGGAAUGCCAGGAAACUCAGAAUGGCAUGUGCUUCAAAUGCAGGGAAGAAGAGCUGUUUGCCAUUGCACUCAAAAUACUUCUGAAGACAUGAAACUCUCCCACUGGUCUGGGUAAUUCUCCGCCUUCCUCCACACCUCCACUGUAAACCAAGAGACACUACGGCCAGCAAGUCCCAGCCCUGCAGAGAGCUCUACCGGCUCCUGUUCAUGCCCAAGAUAUUUAUUAACUUAUUCAACAGCCAUGUGGGAAGACACUGCUUCAGAACACUGACUGUGUGCAGGAGGACACGAAGUCGGGUUCUCAGCUGCCUGGUCCCGGCUUCCCCUGCCUGACCCAGGGGUCUCCUGAGGCAGGAGCUUCUUUGAGGGGAACUGAUAGCUCUUCAGAAGCCUGAUAGAGAGCUGCUCUCUGGGGUAGACACAUGAGGACUGAAGGCUUUCAAGGGCCUCUGUUUUGGUAGGGGCACCUGUGAACUCAGGCUCCCAGGCUAGAGCAUUCAGUUUUUUUUACUUUCUUUUGGAACAUAACCUUUUCCUUUGAGUUUUCAACUGAAGAAUAAACAUAGCAGAAUC